rnacentral:misc_RNA from 1 species
AACCAUAGAAACCUGCGGAGUACCUGCGGAAGGAUCAUUACAAGUGACCCCGGUCUAACCACCGGGAUGUUCAUAACCCUUUGUUGUCCGACUCUGUUGCCUCCGGGGCGACCCUGCCUUCGGGCGGGGGCUCCGGGUGGACACUUCAAACUCUUGCGUAACUUUGCAGUCUGAGUAAACUUAAUUAAUAAAUUAAAACUUUUAGCAAUGGAUCU